CUUGGCGGAGCCGAGCCACAGCGGCCGGUCGGCGGGGCGGUCCCGGCCGUAGGUGGCCAGCAGGGCGUGGGCCUC
rnacentral:antisense_RNA from 1 species